rnacentral:rRNA from 1 species
UACAGAGGUCUCAAGCGUUGUUCGGAUUCAUUGGGCGUAAAGGGUGUGUAGGUGGCGCGCUAAGUCGGGUGUGAAAUUUCGGAGCUUAACUCCGAAACUGCAUUCGAUACUGGCGUGCUUGAGGACUGGAGAGGAGACUGGAAUUUACGGUGUAGCAGUGAAAUGCGUAGAUAUCGUAAGGAAGACCAGUGGCGAAAGCAGGCUACUGGACCGUCACUGACUCUGAUCUGCGAAAGCUAGGGGAGCAAACAGG